rnacentral:rRNA from 1 species
CAGUAGCCGCGGGAAAACGAAGGGUGCAAGCGUUAAUCGGAAUUACUGGGCGUAAAGCGUGCGUAGGUGGUGGUUUAAGUCCGUUGUGAAAGCCCUGGGCUCAACCUGGGAAUUGCAGUGGAUACUGGGUCACUAGAGUGUGGUAGAGGAUAGUGGAAUUUCCGGUGUAGCAGUGAAAUGCGUAGAGAUCGGAAGGAACAUCUGUGGCGAAGGCGACUAUCUGGGCCAACACUGACACUGAGGCACGAAAGCGUGGGGAGCAAACAGGAUUAGAUACCCCGGUAGUCCCUGUCUCUUAUAA